AACGAACGCUGGCGGCAUGCCUAACACAUGCAAGUCGAACGAGACCUUCGGGUCUAGUGGCGCACGGGUGCGUAACGCGUGGGAACCUGCCCUUAGGUUCGGAAUAACUCCCCGAAAGGGGUGCUAAUACCGGAUAAUGUCUUCGGACCAAAGAUUUAUCGCCUUUGGAUGGGCCCGCGUUGGAUUAGCUAGUUGGUAGGGUAAAAGCCUACCAAGGCGACGAUCCAUAGCUGGUCUGAGAGGAUGAUCAGCCCCACUGGGACUGAGACACGGCCCAGACUCCUACGGGAGGCAGCAGUGGGGAAUAUUGGACAAUGGGCGAAAGCCUGAUCCGGCAAUGCCGCGUGAGUGAUGAAGGCCUUAGGGUUGUAAAGCUCUUUUAACCGGGAUGAUAAUGACAGUACCGGGAGAAUAAGCGCCGGCUAACUCCGUG
rnacentral:rRNA from 1 species